UACAGAGGUCCCGAGCGUUUGUUCGGAUUCAUUGGGCGUAAAGGGUGCGUAGGCGGCGGGGCAAGUCUGAUGUGAAAUCCUGGGGCUCAACCCCAGAACUGCAUUGGAUACUGCCUUGCUAGAGUACUGGAGAGGGAACUGGAAUUUACGGUGUAGCAGUGAAAUGCGUAGAGAUCGUAAGGAAGACCAGUGGCGAAGGCGGGUCUCUGGACAGUUCCUGACGCUGAGGCACGAAGGUCAGGGGAGCAAACGGG
rnacentral:rRNA from 1 species